rnacentral:lncRNA from 11 species
GGGGGGUGUUUCUCUUUGCUCCUUUUCGCGCCCGUUGUGCUUUCCACUGAAUUUUAUAACGCUGAUCGAUAUCUUGGUAAAAUAUUCAUUUUUUUAAACUCGCGGGCUCGGGAAAUCUUUGCUUUGUGCUAAAGUCAACAGUGGCGCCCAUAAAGGCGGCGGGGCCGCGGCGAGGCGGCGCAGAGCAGAGAGAGCGCGGCGGAUGGGCCGGAGCAGCCUCCUCCUCGCCGACGCCGACGCCGGGCCAGCCGCGGGCACCAGUCAAGGCUCUUGUGCAGAAUUUCUGACAGGAGGACAGUGACAGCUGGGAGCCCAAGACGUAAGCGACUUGAGAACAUCCUGCAAGUCGCUUCUAGUGUGACAGAAUUGGUCAUCUAAAAAGACGUUGCUCAGGAGACACCCGGAUGUGUUACCAUCCUGCUGGGAGGCUUCUCUCAUGUCCCCGCAAGCUAGAGCUGAUGGACGGGAGCUCUCCCUUUCACGCAGAUUCAAACCGCCAAUCUUCAGGUCAGCAAUCAAACCUUCAGCAGAAUUAUUUAAGCGAUACUGAGAUGCACACAUGGCAGCCGUUCAGCACAGAGCAAGUGAAGAACUCUUUCUCUCAAGUUUGCCUGUAGUCAAGUAAAACCCUUCACAAGUAUUCAUUUGGAGGAAUGCUGCAAGGAACUUUGUCUAUGUGGCUUCAUAUUUUCGAAAGAGAACUUUGCCAAUGGAUUGUGGCCUCAUUUUUUCUCUCGUUACAUGUACCUAUUUUGCAGUGAAAAGAAAAAGUUCCUGCUCAGAGGACAUUAAAGUACAAUGCACAUGCAAGUUUAUGUAUUUUUUUACAUUGCAAUCACUGAUUGAAUUUUUGUUUGUUUGUUUGUUUAAAUGUAUUGCAUGCUUGUAAAAAAUUGGCCUCCCAAGUUCUGUAAUUCAAAACCAUCAUCACUCUUUAUUUUCAGAUAUUGGUCUCCUCCAUACCAUGUAUCAGAAAUACUUCUGACUUGUACUUAAAUAUUUAUCUAUGUAGAAUUUCUUUGGUGGAAUAAAAUUAUCACAUGAGCAACAAUACAAGUCCCAUACAUAGACUGUUUACUGUAUCCACAUAAUUGUCUUCUAUUUGAUCAUACAUAACACUGGGAAUUAUAGGAUCCCGAAGAUGCUAAAAAAUUAAGUCACUCUCUGCUCCUUCCGACUUUAGAGAACUACAGUCCACAGGGUUUCCUUUAAAGAAGAAGUGACUAUUAACUCAGUUUAAUCUAUUAAUACGUCCUCACUACCAAGGAAAUUAAACUAUAGGAAGAUAUUCAGGUGCUAGUUUUGGCAUUCUUUUUCAAAUUUGUUUGUAAUAAUGGUAAACACUAGCAACAUGAGAAUUAUGUAUACAAAAUAUCUGUAGCACUGCACACACAUUAUUUCGGAAAUAAACUGUAACAACAUCUAAUAGGCACC